AGUGAACGCUGGCGGUAGGCCUAACACAUGCAAGUCGAACGGCAGCACAGUAAGAGCUUGCUCUUACGGGUGGCGAGUGGCGGACGGGUGAGGAAUACAUCGGAAUCUACUUUUUCGUGGGGGAUAACGUAGGGAAACUUACGCUAAUACCGCAUACGACCUACGGGUGAAAGCAGGGGAUCUUCGGACCUUGCGCGAUUGAAUGAGCCGAUGUCGGAUUAGCUAGUUGGCGGGGUAAAGGCCCACCAAGGCGACGAUCCGUAGCUGGUCUGAGAGGAUGAGGGGCCAGAUGGGGAAUGAGAUACGGCCCAGACUCAUACGGGAAGGAGAAGUUGGGAAUAUUGCAAAAUGGGCGGAAGCCUGAUGCAGCAACGCCGAGUGCGGGAUGACGGACGUCGGGAUGUAAACCGCUGUCGCCGGUGACGAAGGGUGAGUGACGGUAAUGGGUAAAGAAGCACGGGCUAAGUAAGUG
rnacentral:rRNA from 1 species